GCCUUCGUGGUGUAAUGUCAGCACAUUCGGCGCAUAUUCGAGAGGUCCGUGGUUCGAGUCCCGGCGAGGGCA
rnacentral:tRNA from 1 species